GAUCGUUGAUAGUAGAUACUUCCACGGACUUAGCAUCCAAACUCUGAUAGGUAUUCUUAGGACAGAGGCUCAGCCCGUGGCGCACUGUCCCUAUCUACUAUCUAGCGACACUACAGCCAAGGGAACGGGCUUGGCAGAAUCAACGGGGAAAGAAGACCCUGUUAAGCUUGACUCUAGUCUGACUCUGUGAAGAGACAUGAGAGGUG
rnacentral:ncRNA from 1 species